AUUUGGUUUUUGGGCUACAUUAAAGCCCCCGAAAAUAAUAAUUAUUUUCGGUCCAAUGGGCCAACGCCUCUGAUCAUUUUUGAGUUGCAAUUUUUAGAAUCACGGUUGUGGGCGUUUAUUACGAUCAAUGUACGACCUAUUAGACUUUGAAUGAGAAAAGAAGGCUCCUCUGGUAUCUCAACUAUUGAUAGUUUAAAUGCAUAUAUUUCCUUAGAUUGGACGAUUACCCUUUAAAGUACAAAUUUAACAAUUUUGUCGAGCGUACAGUUUCGUAUAGCAGGAGCUCCUCCAGUUUUAAGGCUGAGGCCGAAUCGUCUUUGUUCAGAGUUUUUAUAUCAUUAAGCAUUUUUCUCAUAUAUCUCUAUUUUUCUCUGACUUUUUGAAUUAAGAUCCUGCCUUGCCUGAAAUUCAGUGUGUCUCAGAGUAUUUCAUGGAGACAAAACUCCUCUUUCCAUUCUUAGACCGUAGUCUUGGAUAUAUCUUAUCGUGUAGUUCCAGGUUGAAGGGGGCCGUUUAACUGAUGGUAAAACUGGGUAGUGAUAUGAGAUGUACGGUGGAUUCGUUUAAGAGGUAUGAAACUCGAUCUGAAGCGAAAAUAUGAUCAAGUCUGGCCUUUAUUAUAUUGCACAGCCCCGUCUUUCAAUAAAAAUUCAUUUUUUUCUA
rnacentral:lncRNA from 1 species